rnacentral:lncRNA from 1 species
GGAAAGGUCAGUAAGUCAGAUGACCUGGAUUUGCAACCCAAUUUCACCAUUGCUAUUCUGAGUGAUCUGGAGAACGUGGCUGCCUUCACACCAAAGUUUCCUCAACUGUAAAAUGGCAAAAAAAAAAAAAAAAAAAAGCCUCCUGUACACAAACCAUGGACUGAUGGUGUCUUCUUCUACCUGAGCUCAGCUGUCAACCCCAUUAUCUAUAACCUACUGUCUCGCCGCUUCCAGGCAGCAUUCCAGAAUGUGAUCUCUUCUUUCCACAAACAGUGGCACUCCCAGCAUGACCCACAGUUGCCACCUGCCCAGCGGAACAUCUUCCUGACAGAAUGCCACUUUGUGGAGCUGACCGAAGAUAUAGGUCCCCAAUUCCCAUGUCAGUCAUCCAUGCACAACUCUCACCUCCCAGCAGCCCUCUCUAGUGAACAGAUGUCAAGAACAAACUAUCAAAGCUUCCACUUUAACAAAACCUGAAUUCUUUCAGAGCUGACUCUCCUCUAUGCCUCAAAACUUCAGAGAGGAACAUCCCAUAAUGUAUGCCUUCUCAUAUGAUAUUAGAGAGGUAGAAUGGCUCUUACAACUCAUGUACCCAUUGCUAGUUUUUUUUUUUUUAAUAAACGUGAAAACUGAGAGUUAGAUCUGGUUUCAAAACCCAAGACUGCCUGAUUUUUAGUUAUCUUUCCACUAUCCUAACUGCCUCAUGCCCCUUCACUAGUUCAUGCCAAGAACGUGACUGGAAAGGCAUGGCACCUAUACCUUGAUUAAUUUCCAUUAAUGGAAAUGGUUCGUCCUGAGUCAUCUACGUUCCGAGUCAGGCUGUCACUCCUACUACCAAUGGCCACUGUGAGCCACAGAAGGAAGACAUGUACGUGCUGUUCUACUUUAUAUGAUGUGAGAAGCCAACAUCAGUGUCCCUUGGCAGCAGUCUACAG